AUUGAACGCUGGCGGCAGGCCUAACACAUGCAAGUCGAACGAGUGGCGGACGGGUGAGUAAUGUCUGGGAAACUGCCCGAUGGAGGGGGAUAACUACUGGAAACGGUAGCUAAUACCGCAUACCAUCGGAUGUGCACAGAUGGGAUUGGCGAGUAGGUGGGGUAAAGGCUCACCUAGGCGACGAUCCAUAGCUGGUCUGAGAGGAGGACCAGCCACACUGGACAUGAGACACGGUCCAGACUCCUACGGGAGGCAGCAGUGGGGAAUAUUGCACAAUGGGCGCAAGCCUGAUGCAGCCAUGCCGCGUGUAUGAAGAAGGCCUUCGGGUUGUAAAGUACUUUCAGCGAGGAGGCGUUACUCGCAGAAGAAGCACCGGCUAACUCCGUGCCAGCCGCCGCGGUAAUUC
rnacentral:rRNA from 1 species